rnacentral:rRNA from 1 species
GAUGAACGCUGGCGGCGUGCUUAACACAUGCAAGUCGAACGAAGCACUUAAGAUUGAUUCUUCGGAUGACGUCUUUUGUGACUUAGUGGCGGACGGGUGAGUAACGCGUGGGUAACCUGCCUCACACAGGGGGAUAACAGUUAGAAAUGACUGCUAAUACCGCAUAACCCGAUAGGAUCGCAUGAUCCAGACGGAAAAGAUUUAUCGGUGUGAGAUGGACCCGCGUCUGAUUAGCUAGUUGGUGAGGUAACGGCCCACCAAGGCGACGAUCAGUAGCCGGCAGGAGAGGGGGAACGGCCACAUUGGGACUGAGACACGGCCCAAACUCCUACGGGAGGCAGCAGUAGGGAAUAUUGCAGAAGGGGGGAAACCCUGAUGCAGCGACGCCGCGUGAGUGAAGAAGUAUUUCGGUAUGUAAAGCUCUAUCAGCAGGGAAGAAAAUGACGGUACCUGACUAAGAAGCCCCGGCUAACUACGUG